rnacentral:tRNA from 2 species
GCAUCCGUAGCUCAGGUGGAUAGAGUACUCGGCUACGAACCGAGCGGUCGGAGGUUCGAAUCCUCCCGGAUGCACCA